ACUGCUUUGUCUGCCAUUAUGAAGAAUAUCUGUAGGGGGCAAAAGCAGUAGCAGAGAGUAGAAAGCCAUUGCAGUCAUUCAGCUGAGAGGUGAUGAUCUGAAUGAACUAGGCUGACAGC